AACGAACGCUGGCGGCAGGCUUAACACAUGCAAGUCGAACGGGUGCAGCAAUGCAUCAGUGGCAGACGGGUGAGUAACACGUGGGAACCUUCCUAGGGGUACGGAACAACUCAGGGAAACUUGAGCUAAUACCGUAUACGUCCGUAAGGAGAAAGACUCAUCGCCCCUAGACGGGCCCGCGUCGGAUUAGGUAGUUGGUGGGGUAACGGCCUACCAAGCCUGCGAUCCGUAGCUGAUCNGAGAGGAUGAUCAGCCACACUGGGACUGAGACACGGCCCAGACUCCUACGGGAGGCAGCAGUGGGGAAUCUUGGACAAUGGGCGCAAGCCUGAUCCAGCCAUGCCGCGUGAGUGAAGAAGGCCUUAGGGUUGUAAAGCUCUUUUACCAGGGACGAUAAU
rnacentral:rRNA from 1 species